rnacentral:rRNA from 1 species
GACGAACGCUGGCGGCGUGCUUAACACAUGCAAGUCGAACGGAAAGGCCCUGCUUUUGUGGGGUGCUCGAGUGGCGAACGGGUGAGUAACACGUGAGUAACCUGCCCUUGACUUUGGGAUAACUUCAGGAAACUGGGGCUAAUACCGGAUAGGAGCUCCUGCUGCAUGGUGGGGGUUGGAAAGUUUCGGCGGUUGGGGAUGGACUCGCGGCUUAUCAGCUUGUUGGUGGGGUAGUGGCUUACCAAGGCUUUGACGGGUAGCCGGCCUGAGAGGGUGACCGGCCACAUUGGGACUGAGAUACGGCCCAGACUCCUACGGGAGGCAGCAGUGGGGAAUAUUGCACAAUGGGCGGAAGCCUGAUGCAGCAACGCCGCGUGCGGGAUGACGGCCUUCGGGUUGUAAACCGCUUUCGCCUGUGACGAAGCGUGAGUGACGGUAAUGGGUAAAGAAGCACCGGCUAACUACGUGCCAGCAGCCGCGGUGAUACGUAGGGUGCGAGCGUUGUCCGGAUUUAUUGGGCGUAAAGGGCUCGUAGGUGGUUGAUCGCGUCGGAAGUGUAAUCUUGGGGCUUAACCCUGAGCGUGCUUUCGAUACGGGUUGACUUGAGGAAGGUAGGGGAGAAUGGAAUUCCUGGUGGAGCGGUGGAAUGCGCAGAUAUCAGGAGGAACACCAGUGGCGAAGGCGGUUCUCUGGGCCUUUCCUGACGCUGAGGAGCGAAAGCGUGGGGAGCGAACAGGCUUAGAUACCCUGGUAGUCCACGCUGUAAACGGUGGGUACUAGGUGUGGGGUCCAUUCCACGGGUUCCGUGCCGUAGCUAACGCUUUAAGUACCCCGCCUGGGGAGUACGGCCGCAAGGCUAAAACUCAAAGGAAUUGACGGGGCCCCGCACAAGCGGCGGAGCAUGCGGAUUAAUUCGAUGCAACGCGUAGAACCUUACCUGGGUUUGACAUGGAUCGGGAGCGCUCAGAGAUGGGUGUGCCUCUUUUGGGGUCGGUUCACAGGUGGUGCAUGGCUGUCGUCAGCUCGUGUCGUGAGAUGUUGGGUUAAGUCCCGCAACGAGCGCAACCCUUGUUCACUGUUGCCAGCACGUUAUGGUGGGGACUCAGUGGAGACCGCCGGGGUCAACUCGGAGGAAGGUGGGGAUGACGUCAAGUCAUCAUGCCCCUUAUGUCCAGGGCUUCACGCAUGCUACAAUGGCUGGUACAGAGAGUGGCGAGCCUGUGAGGGUGAGCGAAUCUCGGAAAGCCGGUCUCGGUUCGGAUUGGGGUCUGCAACUCGACCUCAUGAAGUCGGAGUCGCUAGUAAUCGCGGAUCAGCAACGCUGCGGUGAAUACGUUCCCGGG